rnacentral:rRNA from 1 species
CCUACGGGCGGCAGCAGUGGGGAAUAUUGGGCAAUGGUCGCAAGCCUGACCCAGCAACGCCGCGUGAAGGAGGAAGGCUUUCGGGUUGUAAACUUCUUUUCUGAGGGACGAAGAAAGUGACGGUACCUCAGGAAUAAGCCACGGCUAACUACGUGCCAGCAGCCGCGGUAAUACGUAGGUGGCAAGCGUUCUCCGGAUUUAUUGGGUGUAAAGGGCGUGUAGGCGGGAAAGCAAGUCAGAUGUGAAGACUCAGGGCUCAACCCUGAGCCUGCAUUUGAAACUGUUUGUCUUGAGUGCUGGAGAGGCAAUCGGAAUGCCGUGUGUAGCGGUGAAAUGCGUAGAUAUAGGGAGGAACACCAGUGGCGAAGGCGGAUUGCUGGACAGUAACUGACGUUGAGGCUCGAAAGCGUGGGGAGCAAACAGGAUUAGAUACCCGAGUAGUC